GAAGAUAUACGCAUUAGAAAUUAAUCUAGUUUCUAUGAGAUUUAAGAAGAGAAUUGAAAAAAUCACUUGCUCUAAGAUUGUCUUUAAGAAGAGGAAUACUCUUUUUAAUUGCUUACAAAACAACAAAGAUAAAUAUGAUCGCAACAUUCUACCGGGGGUCUAUGAAAUUCCCACCACAGAUAAUGACCUGAGUCAAGACAUACGAUAUAUAGGUUACACCGCAAGAUCACUGAAUAAGAGAUUAUAAGAACAUAAAAAAGAUAUAGAUAAGUCUGUGAAUACAACAGCACUAGACCAAAGAG
rnacentral:lncRNA from 1 species